AUUGAACGCUGGCGGCAGGCCUAACACAUGCAAGUCGAACGGUAGCACAGAGAGCUUGCUCUCGGGUGACGAGUGGCGGACGGGUGAGUAAUGUCUGGGAAACUGCUUGAGGGAGGGGGAUAACUACUGGAAACGGUAGCUAAUACCGCAUAACGUCGCAAGACCAAAGAGGGGGACCUUCGGGCCUCUUGCCAUCAGAUGUGCCCAUAUGGGAUUAGCUAGUAGGUGGGGUAACGGCUCACCUAGGCGACGAUCCCUAGCUGGUCUGAGAGGAUGACCAGCCACACUGGAACUGAGACACGGUCCAGACUCCUACGGGAGGCAGCAGUGGGGAAUAUUGCACAAUGGGCGCAAGCCUGAUGCAGCCAUGCCGCGUGUAUGAAGAAGGCCUUCGGGUUGUAAAGUACUUUCAGCGGGGAGGAAGGUGUUGCGGUUAAUAACCGCAGCAAUUGACGGUACCCGCAGAAGAAGCACCGGCUAACUCCGUGCCAGCCGCCGCAGUAACAC
rnacentral:rRNA from 1 species